UGCAUAAAAGGGAGUACAAAGUUGUACUAACUGUUAAAUACUAUCAACAAUCUAUUUGCAAGUACUGAGGUGUAGUACAUUUUAGCAAAGUACUAGAAUUUUAAAGUGUGCUAGGCUAUAUAUAUAACAAUGGGAUUAUCUCCACUGCCAUCAUCAAAAUCAAAGGAAAAAAUAUAAGGAAUCCAACAAAGGUGAAGGAGUCCUACAGGGGCAAACUGAGAUCACAUGUGUGCAUUCAUAUGGACACUCAUUGUGCUUGUGUUCUUGUGUGUUAGAUGUGUUCUCAGGUCGCCCCUGUUGGAUUUCCUUUCACUGUGUGUUCAUCUUGCCAUCAAUGUUUGAUCAAUUUUGACUUAGAUUGUGUAGACACAGGCUGACGUGCUUAGCACCACAAAUGAUUGUGGCUCAACCGUUUGGAUAAAAGUUAUGUGGUCAAGGGUGUGGGACCAUACAAGCACUAAAUAAAACAUACCGCUAGUUGAACCCACAACCACAGACUCACAA